UACGGAAGGCAGCAGUGGGGAAUAUUGCACAAUGGGCGCAAGCCUGAUGCAGCCAUGCCGCGUGUAUGAAAAAGGCCUUCGGGUUGUAAAGUACUUUCAGUCGUGAGGAAGGUGUUAAGGUUAAUAACCUUAGCAAUUGACGUUAGCGACAGAAGAAGCACCGGCUAACUCCGUGCCAGCAGCCGCGGUAAUACGGAGGGUGCGAGCGUUAAUCGGAAUUACUGGGCGUAAAGGGCACGCAGGCGGUUAAUUAAGUUGGAUGUGAAAUCCCCGGGCUUAACCUGGGAAUGGCAUUCAAGACUGGUUUAGCUAGAGUCUUGUAGAGGGGGUAGAAUUCCAUGUGUAGCGGUGAAAUGCGUAGAGAUGUGGAGGAAUACCGGCGGCGAAGGGCGGCCCCCUGGACAAAGGACUGACGCUCAUGUGCGAAAGCGUGGGGAGCAAAACAGGGAUUAGA
rnacentral:rRNA from 1 species